rnacentral:rRNA from 1 species
GAUGAACGCUGGCGGCGUGCCUAAUACAUGCAAGUCGAGCGAACGGAAGAGAAGCUUGCUUUUCUGAUGUUAGCGGCGGACGGGUGAGUAACACGUGGAUAACCUACCUAUAAGACUGGGAUAACUUCGGGAAACCGGAGCUAAUACCGGAUAAUAUUUUGAACCGCAUGGUUCAAAAGUGAAAGACGGUCUUGCUGUCACUUAUAGAUGGAUCCGCGCUGCAUUAGCUAGUUGGUAAGGUAACGGCUUACCAAGGCAACGAUGCAUAGCCGACCUGAGAGGGUGAUCGGCCACACUGGAACUGAGACACGGUCCAGACUCCUACGGGAGGCAGCAGUAGGGAAUCUUCCGCAAUGGGCGAAAGCCUGACGGAGCAACGCCGCGUGAGUGAUGAAGGUCUUCGGAUCGUAAAACUCUGUUAUUAGGGAAGAACAUAUGAGUAAGUAACUGUGCACAUCUUGACGGUACCUAAUCAGAAAGCCACGGCUAACUACGUG